GCCGCGGCUAUACUCGACGAACGAUCACGACGUUUUUCUCAAGCUUCCGCGGCCAGCAAAACCGCCAGUUUGGCGUCAGUUUUGGCACAGGGAGCGCUUGAAAAGUUAAACACGACACGCGAUUUUAAUCCUCUUCGAGCGAUUCACCAUGUCCGCCGCAAAAUCGGACGUCUGAAGAAAUCGAAAGGAUGCCGGCCGGUAUUUCGACUCUGGCGCCGUCGACGGAUGCGGAAUCUUUCGAUUAUGAGACGAAGGAUCCGCCGGCCUUUACAAUCUUGCAGAAGGAUGGCCUGGACUCGAGUCUGCCGCUCUUACACGUCAACGAGGACGAUGAGAUGAAUGCGUCGCAGCUCACCAACUUGGAGAACAUGAAGAACGCGAUCAAGAACAAUCUCUGUAAUCGCAGACGCAUCAGCAAAUCCAACGAACAUCUGGUCUUGGCUAGUCUACAAUCUAGUCAAGCCAAUCCUCUGAAGAAGAAGCAUCAGAGUAAAAGUCACGACAGCUUAGAAUUGGCUGAGGAGAGACCACCUACGACUAGAUCCAACAUCGUUCUAUCGACGGAGGACUUCAACGAGGUGCUGAAUGCAAAACUGAAAAAGAUUCAAGAGCAAGCCGAGGCCGAGCAAGGCCGCAAGUCGCCCAAGAAAUCGAUCCCGCCGCAGAAGAAGCCGUUCAUCACGACCGUGAAGACGGGGGAAUUUCUAAUGCCGCCGCCGGAAGUGGCGGCCUUGCUCGGCAUAGCUUUACCGAGCGGUAACGAGGAGGAGACAGCGGACGGAUGUCCCCUGAAGAGCAGGUUCAAGUCGCUGGUAUCGCUGGCCAAGAGGCCGGAGGUACGUCACAAUAGUCACAAUGCCAGAUGUCCAGCCGCCCUAAAAGCCACCGUAGACUUUUCCCUCGGCAUGAUGAACGCCACCACCAUCGCCACCGCCUCGACCUUGAAUGAGCAAGCAAGAAGGUUCAAGAGGAGCGAACCGGCCGAUCAAUCGGUUCCUUACGGGAAUAUUAUGUUUGACCGCCGAGUGGCUCGCGGAAGUACAUUCGCUUCCGCUCCUACUCUCAUCGAUGGGGAGCAAUCGAUAGCAGCGAGGCAAGCGGAAGCGAGACGAAGACAUUUGGUAAGGAAACGAGCUCAAGUGCAAGUCUGCAGAGCGCUCGUCGCCAGGACGGGUUCGCCUCCUCCGGUUCCUGGAAGAAAACACGAACCGGUGCAAACUGAGACUUUUCUCGAGGAGCUGAUAGAGAAACCAGACGAAUCCGAAGUAGCUACACAAACGGAUUACUUCUUGGAAAAACCAGUAUUACCGAACUAUUAUACAAGCAAGGUUGGUCGGGACGCUUGCACGCAAAUCGAACCCGGGGAACUCUUCGACUACGACACUGAAGUCCAACCAAUUUUGGAAGUGUUAGUAGGCAAGACUGUCGAACAAGCUCUAAUCGAGGUUCUGGAAGAGGAGGAGAUUGCUGCUCUCAAGGAGCAGCAGAGAAGAUUCCUCGAAUUGCGUAUGGCUGAAAAAGCUGAGGAGCAACGAUUGGUGGAAGAGGAGAGGAGACGUAAAGAGGAGAAGGAUCAACGCCAGAAACAACAAGAAAAGGCGAUGAAAACUCAGCAGGAGACCGAGGAACGAGUCGCGGCUGCAGUAUUGUUAACAGGAUACAUCGCCGAACUUUUGCCUGCGGUUCUGGAGGGUCUGAAGAUGUCUGGCUACUUACUGGACGAGAUCAAGGCUGAUGUCGAAGAAGGUUUUAUGCCAUGGUUAAUGAAAGAAGUCAAAAAGGAAAUGGGUAACAUGAUUGAAAGCAGAGAAUUGUUAAUGGAAAUUAUUAGAGAAAUUUUGGAGAACCGCGCGCAGACGUACAGGCAGCUUGGAGAAGAAUACGAUAUUUCAAGGAGUAAGACACUAACAAGCGUGUAUAAUGUGGAAGGAGGUGAAACUGAUAGCAACUUCGUGAACUAUGAAUCACCCGCGACGGAAAAUCACGCAAUUUAGCGUGAUAAAUACAUCGUUUUCAGGAUGUUAAUGAUACUGGAAAAUGAGCAAACCAUAGUUAACUUUUGGAUAACGAGAUUUACCUUAACCAGCACAAAAGCAAUAUCCGAACCCGGUACCGUCUACAUUAAGCAGUGUACACAGCUGUGCAACAAAUCCAUCUCCUUCGCUUGCACCCUCUGACAGGUCGACGCAGCGCUCGCGAUCCCUAUCGCAAACAGUAACCGCCGAAAGAACGAGAAAGGCCCAUCAGAAAUUAAUUAUCGAUUCUCGAAAUCAACGCGUGUAGAUUAACCUGGGAACGCUGCACAACGCUUUCAAGAAUAAGAAUAAGAAGCUGAUUACAUUCUAUUAUAAUAUAGAAAGAUAUAAUUUAUAAUUUAUUCAUGUAAUUCCGAUGAUGCUGAAAAUUUAAGUACAUAUUAAAUAAACAAAAAUAUAAAAAGAA